AGGCUACAUACAGUUCAUAAUGGUGAGGAAGUCAUGGUGGCAGACUCAGGCAGUGUCUAGUCAUGUUGCAUCUGCGUCCACGAAGCAGAGAGCAAUGCAUGGGGUCCUCAGCUCCCUUUCUACUUUUUAUGCAGUCCAGGAUCUCAGGCCAUGGCAUGGCACCACUCACAAUCAAGCCUCAGACCUUCAACAUGGCUAUGAUCUGAAGUGCUGGCUCCUGACAUCAAGUUGAAGUUCAGGAUUGCUUCAUCCAACCUUGGAGGAGGAGGUGCCUGGUCUCACUGCUGCUUGAUAUACCAUGGCUGGCUGAUAUCCACGGGAUGCCCAUCUGUAUCUGAGGAGAAAUAGUGGAGGAGGAGUGGAUGUGAUGAGGAGGGGGGAAGGAAGGGGAGGCCUGGGAAGAAAGGAUGGAGGGGAAGCUUUAGUUAGGAUGUAAAAACAAGAAAAAAAA